rnacentral:rRNA from 1 species
CAGUAGCCGCGGUAAUACGUAGGUCCCGAGCGUUGUCCGGAUUUAUUGGGCGUAAAGCGAGCGCAGGCGGUUUGAUAAGUCUGAAGUUAAAGGCUGUGGCUCAACCAUAGUUCGCUUUGGAAACUGUCAAACUUGAGUGCAGAAGGGGAGAGUGGAAUUCCAUGUGUAGCGGUGAAAUGCGUAGAUAUAUGGAGGAACACCGGUGGCGAAAGCGGCUCUCUGGUCUGUAACUGACGCUGAGGCUCGAAAGCGUGGGGAGCGAACAGGAUUAGAUACCCGGGUAGUCCCUGUCUCUUAUACA